UACGGGGGGGGCAAGCGUUGUUCGGAAUUACUGGGCGUAAAGGGCUCGUAGGUGGCCAACUAAGUCAGACGUGAAAUCCCUCGGCUUAACCGGGGAACUGCGUCUGAUACUGGAUGGCUAGAGAUUGGGAGAGGGAUGCGGAAUUCCAGGUGUAGCGGUGAAAUGCGUAGAUAUCGGAAGGAACACCAGUGGCGAAAGCGGCUUCCUGGUCCAGCACCGACGUUCAGGCACGAAAGCGUGGGGAGCAAACAGG
rnacentral:rRNA from 1 species